rnacentral:rRNA from 1 species
GCUUGUUGGUGGGGUAAUGGCCUACCAAGGCGACGACGGGUAGCCGGCCUGAGAGGGUGACCGGCCACAUUGGGACUGAGAUACGGCCCAGACUCCUACGGGAGGCAGCAGUGGGGAAUCUUAGACAAUGGGCGCAAGCCUGAUCCAGCCAUGCCGCGUGAGUGAUGAAGGUCUUAGGAUCGUAAAGCUCUUUCGCCAGGGAUGAUAAUGACAGUACCUGGUAAAGAAACCCCGGCUAACUCCGUGCCAGCAGCCGCGGUAAUACGGAGGGGGUUAGCGUUGUUCGGAAUUACUGGGCGUAAAGCGCGCGUAGGCGGCAAGUUAAGUUGGGUGUGAAAGCCCCGGGCUCAACCUGGGAACUGCAUUCAAAACUGGCUAGCUAGAGUACAGCAGAGGAUAGUGGAAUUUCCGGUGUAGCGGUGAAAUGCGUAGAGAUCGGAAGGAACACCAGUGGCGAAGGCGACUGUCUGGGCUGAUACUGACGCUGAGGUGCGAAAGCGUGGGGAGCAAACAGGAUUAG